AUACAGGGAGGGUACUUCUCAGUCUGUGGCACUCAGCCUUGAGGGCACUUUCUGGUGCCAGAAUGAAAGUGCUGUCAUAGCUGAGGUCCAAUGACUGAGGCGAGCACCGAAGAAACAC
rnacentral:precursor_RNA from 1 species